CGAGAAGGUCGCUUUAAACCACAAACUGUACAGAAGCUAGUCCACCAAAAAAUAUAUACACGAGGGCGACAAGGCUAAAAACUCAGGAUACAACUAGCGAAAAGGCCAUAACUGUCUCAUAUACCCACAAUAAUUGUCUACAAGCCUCAGAGAUAAAGAACUACUAACAACACGGAACAAGGCCCUGACAUACCCAUUAGCUCUGCAAAGUAGAAGAAGACUCAACAUUCCUAGAAAGAAUAGCGCAUCUCAAUCAUCAACUGCACUCGACCAAAUGUAAUGGGAUCACUAUGUUCCUAAUAAUUGACAAUCUUAAAUGCCG
rnacentral:lncRNA from 1 species